GUAAGUAGCCAAUUUUCACCCUGUGUUAGCCAUCUUGAAGCUACUUAAUAAAUCCGUGUUGUCCUCUUGGAAAAGCUACUUUUUAUUUCAGAGCAAAUUCUAAAGAAAAAGUACUCAAAAGCGUAGAAGUUAAAAUUUUUGCUGAAAAAGUUAGCAGGCAAUACUGUUUUGCCUAUUCCAUUUUGCUUAGACUUUCGCAUCUUUCAAUUCUAUUGAAAGUUCUGUGAAAAUUACAUUACAAUUGUGCUUUUCAUUGCGAUAAAUAGCUACCAUAUAGCCACAUUUAGGUCGAUUAUGUCUUACAUAUCGUGGUAGUCGAUUAUUUGGAGUCGCCUUUCUGCUGCCGAAAACUACCGGUUGGUGAAUUUUCAUAAACGUUUUUAGAACAGAGUUUUUGCAAAUAUAAUAGUGACCACCUUGCAUACAAUACAUAAACUACAGUUAGACUUCACAGACGAGCAAGUGCAGCGGAAGAUGUGUGUUGAAGAGCUGGUUUUUAGAAACGAUGA